rnacentral:rRNA from 2 species
UGCAAGUCGAGCGGACAGAUUGGGAGCUUGCUUCCCUGAUGUUAGCGGCGGACGGGUGAGUAACACGUGGGUAACCUGCCUGUAAGACUGGGAUAACUUCGGGAAACCGGAGGGCUAAUACCGGGUAGGAUCUUCUCCUUCAUGGGAGAUGAUUGAAAGAGGGUUUCGGCUAUCACUUACAGAUGGGCCCGCGGUGCAUUAUCUAGUUGGUGAGGUAACGGCUCACCAAGGCAACGAUGCAUAGCCGACCUGAGAGGGUGAUCGGCCACACUGGGACUGAGACACGGCCCAGACUCCUACGGGAGGCAGCAAUAGGGAAUCUUCCGCAAUGGACGAAAGUCUGACGGAGCAACGCCACGUGAGUGAUGAAGGCUUUCGGGUCGUAAAACUCUGUUGUUAGGGAAGAACAAGUACGAGAGUAACUGCUCGUACCUUGACGGUACCUAACCAGAAAGCCACGGCUAACUACGUGCCAGCAGCCGCGGUAAUACGUAGGUGGCAAGCGUUAUCCGGAAUUAUUGGGCGUAAAGCGCGCGCAGGCGGUUUCUUAAUUCUGAUGUGAAAGCCCACGGCUCAACCGUGGAGGGUCAUUGGAAACUGGGGAACUUGAGUGCAGAAGAGAAAAGCGGAAUUCCACGUGUAGCGGUGAAAUGCGUAGAGAUGUG